rnacentral:rRNA from 1 species
AACUAACCAGGAUUUCCUUAGUAGCGGCGAGCGAACAGGAAAAAGCCCAGCACUGAAUCCCGCCGUUGUUACGGCGGCGGGAGAUGUGGUGUUCGGGAGGUUCCGCUUUCUCGUCGUCGUCUCCUCCCGUCCAAGUUCGUCUUGAACGGGGCCGUUUUCCCGUAGAGGGUGCCAGGCCCGUAGCGACGGAGGACGGCGGCGAGAGGGACUCUCCUCAGAGUCGGGUUGCUUGAGAGUGCAGCCCUAAGCGGGUGGUAAACUCCAUCUAAGGCUAAAUAUUACCGCGAGACCGAUAGCGAACAAGUACC